ensembl:ncRNA lncRNA:CR46230 long non-coding RNA:CR46230
GCUUGCGAAUUUUGGCCAAAAUCGUUGUUGUUUUUUGGUCUGCAUAAUUGAAUUUAUUUUCGAGGUCAGCAAAAAGCGAGGCAAACGUUUAAAAAACUGAACUUUACAGCUUUGCGAAACCGUUCGUUGGAUUUUCGGUUUUGGAUUUACUUGGAUUUUGUGUUGUCGAUUGCUGAUCGCUGCGGUUGUCAAUCAAAAAGUCAAAUUCCAAGCUGCCAAAGGUGCGCAAUUUGUCUUUCAACUGCAAUUGAGACGAAAAGCGAAUGUGACAUGGUCAGCAGCAGCAGCAGCGUCAACGGUUGGAAAAUGCAAUAAAGCAAUCGAAAAAAUGGUCGAGAAUGCAAUGGGAUCGAUAUUGCGCAUACGCCGCGUGUGUCUCAGUGUCUCUGGCCAUCUGAUAUAGCCGGUAAUAAGCCGGUUGCAUGGCCUCAACAAUCGACAAUCGACUAUUGACAGAGCAGGAAUGCCGCCCGAAUAUGACAAUCGCCAAUAACGCUAACUACAUGUCCAACUUCAAGUAUUAACCCAUUGGAAGCCAAAAAAAUCUAGGGUUAGUUCCC